GAAUUUGAACCUAAAAACUAGUACUGUUUGAAUCAUUUUUAUUUGUAGUUUAAAUCAUUUAAUUUCGAUUAUAAGAAUUUUAGACUAGGAGCCGGCUGAUUUGUGUAUUGAGUACUUAAUAACCUAUAUUUUAUUAAUAAGAAAAAGCUAGGUAAAACAAAAUUAUAUUUUAAUAUACAAGUAUAAUAACGAACUUGUUUCCAAAGACUCAAAUAUUUGUGGCGUUUCUAAACGCAACCACUUUAAUUUUUAUUUAAAUACCGUGAAGUCCCACGAUUCUGCCACGUCAAGUGGCAAAAAUGGGCAACAACUAUACAGGGUGGAAACGUUAAGUGAUCUCACUCGAUUAUUUCUUAACUAUACAAGAUAUUAAAAAACUGGUUACUGAUCCUGAAAGUGCUUAAUGAGCUCUUUCAAACGGUACCAAUAAUAAGUUACAGAAUAAACUGGAUCUAUCUGAAAAUUCAAUGUUUCCAGCUUCCAUACUAAAUGUAUGCCAGACACACAAUAUUAGAAGUGUAAUUUUUUUAAUUUAAUAAUAAAUACUUAAAAUAAACUCGUAAAUUGUAUUCUUAUUUUAAAUUAUUAAUGAAAAACAUUGGUUUUAGGCUUUACUUGCUAUAAUAUUGUCAAGAGAUGAGUGUCAUGACUGUGGUAGUACUAAAUGUAUGGAAGAAGGAAACAUUGAAUUUUUGGUUAGAUCCAGUUUAUUCUGUAACCUAUUAUUGAUACCAUUGGAUAGAGCUUGUGAAGCACUUUUAGAAUCAGUAAUCAGUUUUACGAUAUCAUAUGUAGUUUUUAAAAUAAUGUGACUUUACCAAAUGUAUGGAAGCUGGAAACAUUGAAGUUUCGGAUAGAUCCAGUUUAUUCUGUAACCUAUUAUUAAUACCGUUUGAUAGAGCUCAUGAAGCACUUUCAGGAUCAAUAACUAGUUUAUUGAUAUCUUGUAUAGUUUAGAAAUAAUCGAGUGAGAUCACUUAUCGUUUCCACCCUUUAUACACUACUACUUUUUUAUCACCGGAAAAUUUUUAACAGGUUAUGUAGAAAUGUGUGAAAAUUAUAAAGUAAAAAAAAAAAUUAAAUUUUUAUAAAGUUAA